rnacentral:tRNA from 1 species
GGCUCCAUGGAGUAGUGGUUAGCACGUCUGCUUUCCACGCAGAAGGUCCUGGGUUCGUGCCCCAGGUGGAGCCA